AUUGAACGCUGGCGGCAGGCUUAACACAUGCCAGUCGAGCGAGCGGCGGACGGGUGAGUAAUGUCUGGGAAACUGCCUGAUGGAGGGGGAUAACUACUGGAAACGGUAGCUAAUACCGCAUACCAUCCGGUGUGCCCAGAUGGGAUUAGCUAGUAGGUGGGGUAAGGGCUCCCCUAGGCGACGAUCCCUCGCUGGUCUGAGAGGAUGACCAGCCACACUGGAACUGAGACACGGUCCAGCCUCCUACGGGAGGCAGCAGGGGGGAAUAUUGCACAAUGGGCGCAAGCCUGAUGCAGCCAUGCCGCGUGUAUGAAGAAGGCCUUCGGGUUGUAAAGCACUUUCAGCGAGGAGGCGUUACUCGCAGAAGAAGCACCGGCUAACUCCGUGCCAGCAGCCGCGGUAAUAC
rnacentral:rRNA from 1 species